GCUCUGCCGAUCUGUUUAGCAAUAUUUCAUGGUAAGCCAAUCAGAGGUAGAGUUGGGCGGGCGUUCGAAAGCACGCAUAGUCGAACACACAACAAACAACA